rnacentral:lncRNA from 1 species
UGGAUCAGUGCACAGCUGUUUCCCUCUAAAGAGUCUCUCACCCUGACUGUGUGCUUCACAUGUCAUUGGACCUCAGCUAUGUACAUUGUAUGGCCUACCUACCCUGUAACUCCAAUACGUUCCCAUGAUAAGGCAAGGCAAGGUUUCUUCUAACCUACCCUGUAACUCCAAUACCUCCCCAUGAUAAGGCAAGGCAAGGUUUCUUCUAACCUACCCUGUAACUCCAAUACGUUCCCAUGAUAAGGCAAGGUUUCUUCUAACCUACCCUGUAACUCCAAUACGUUCCCCAUGAUAAGGCAAGGUUUCUUCUAACCUACCCUGUAACUCCAAUACGUUCCCCAUGAUAAGGCAAGGUUUCUUCUAACCUACCCUGUAACUCCAAUACGUCCCCAUGAUAAGGCAAGGUU